rnacentral:rRNA from 1 species
UCUCUACGGGAGGCAGCAGUGGGGAAUAUUGGGCAAUGGGCGCAAGCCUGACCCAGCAACGCCGCGUGAAGGAAGAAGGCUUUCGGGUUGUAAACUUCUUUUAUGAGGGACGAAACAAAUGACGGUACCUCAUGAAUAAGCCACGGCUAACUACGUGCCAGCAGCCGCGGUAAUACGUAGGUGGCAAGCGUUAUCCGGAUUUACUGGGUGUAAAGGGAGCGUAGACGGCCAGACAAGUCAGAAGUGAAAGCCCAGGGCUCAACCCUGGGACUGCUUUUGAAACUGCCGGGCUGGAGUGCAGGAGG